rnacentral:rRNA from 1 species
ACGUAGGGUGCGAGCGUUAAUNGGAAUUACUGGGCGUAAAGCGGGCGCAGACGGUUACUUAANCAGGAUGUGAAAUCCCCGGGCUCGACCUGGGAACUGCGUUCUGAACUGGGUGACUAGAGUGUNUCAGAGGGAGGUAGAAUUCCACGUGUAGCAGUGAAAUGCGUAGAGAUGUGGAGGAAUACCGAUGGCGAAGGCAGCCUCCUGGGAUAACACUGACGUUCAUGCCCGAAAGCGUGGGUAGCAAACAGGAUUAGAUACCCUGGUAGUCCACGCCCUAAACGAUGUCGAUUAGCUGUUGGGCAGCAUGACUGCUUAGUAGCGAAGCUAACGCGUGAAAUCGACCGCCUGGGGAGUACGGUCGCAAGAUUAAAACUCAAAGGAAUUGACGGGGACCCGCACAAGCGGUGGAUGAUGUGGAUUAAUUCGAUGCAACGCGAAGAACCUUACCUGGUCUUGACAUGUGCGGAACCCUCCAGAGACGGAGGGGUGCCUUCGGGAGCCGUAACACAGGUGCUGCAUGGCUGUCGUCAGCUCGUGUCGUGAGAUGUUGGGUUAAGUCCCGCAACGAGCGCAACCCUUGUCAUUAGUUGCCAUCAUUAAGUUGGGCACUCUAAUGAGACUGCCGGUGACAAGCCGGAGGAAGGUGGGGAUGACGUCAAGUCCUCAUGGCCCUUAUGACCAGGGCUUCACACGUCAUACAAUGGUCGGUACAGAGGGUAGCCAAGCGCGAGGUGGAGCCAAUCUCACAAAACCGAUCGUAGUCCGGAUUGCACUCUGCAACUCGAGUGCAUGAAGUCGGAAUCGCUAGUAAUCGCAGGUCAGCAUACUGCGGUGAAUACGUUCCCGGGUCUUGUACACACCGCCC